GAUAGGAGGGGGAUAACUACUGGAAACGGUAGCUAAUACCGCAUAACGUCGCAAGACCAAAGAGGGGGACCUUCGGGCYUCUUGCCAUCAGAUGUGCCCAGAUGGGAUUAGCUAGUAGGCGGGGUAAUGGCCCACCUAGGCGACGAUCCCUAGCUGGUCUGAGAGGAUGACCAGCCACACUGGAACUGAGACACGGUCCAGACUUCCUACGGGAGGCAGCAGUGGGGAAUAUUGCACAAUGGGCGCAAGCCUGAUGCAGCCAUGCCGCGUGUGUGAAGAAGGCCUUCGGGUUGUAAAGCACUUUCAGCGGGGAGGAAGGCRGUMCGGUUAAUAACCGUGCUGAUUGACGUUACCCGCAGAAGAAGCACCGGCUAACUCCGUGCCAGCAGCCGCGGUAAUACGGAGGGUGCAAGCGUUAAUCGGAAUUACUGGGCGUAAAGCGCACGCAGGCGGUCUGUCAAGUCGGAUGUGAAAUCCCCGGGCUCAACCUGGGAACUGCAUUCGAAACUGGCAGGCUGGAGUCUCGUAGAGGGAGGUAGAAUUCCAGGUGUAGCGGUGAAAUGCGUAGAGAUCUGGAGGAAUACCGGUGGCGAAGGCGGCCUUCCUGGACGAAGACUGACGCUUCAGGUGCGAAA
rnacentral:rRNA from 1 species